rnacentral:tRNA from 1 species
GCCGUGAUCGUCUAAUGGUUAGGACUUUACGUUGUGGCCGUAACAAUCCAGGUUCGAUUCCUGGUCACGGCA